UACGUAGGGGGCGAGCGUUGUCCGGAUUCAUUGGGCGUAAAGAGCUCGUAGGCGGCUUGGCAAGUCGGAUGUGAAAACUCCAGGCUCAACCUGGAGCCGCCAUUCGAUACUGCUAUGGCUAGAGUCCGGUAGGGGAGUGUGGAAUUCCCGGUGUAGCGGUGAAAUGCGCAGAUAUCAGGAAGAACACCCGUGGCGAAGGCGGCUCUCUGGGACGGUACUGACGCUGAGACGCGAAAGCGUGGGGAGCGAACAGG
rnacentral:rRNA from 1 species